UCAUUUGUGGGUGCUUUUGGGGAAAUUUGUUGAGGUUUACCCAAUACAGAAAAUAUGAUUUGGUUUUCAGUCCAUGGUAGAACAAAUGAAGAUAAAACCAUCACAUCUAUUCUACCAGCUCUCGGGAGAAAAGGGCUUCCCUCCUGCGGGAAGUGAUGACGUGGGCAGCCUGACUGCAUCACUACCCGCAAGUCGCCCUCAUGGUCAUACCGCAACACGGCUGAGGGAUGAAGGGGGGGCAUCGGAGGUUGCCAAGGCAACACGUUGCAGUGUGACGCAUGCAAGAGCAGCAGAAAGAAAGGAAGGUGAUGAUUGGCUGGCAAGUGCAAAAAUAGAAGAGGGAGGAUGAAGUGGCAUGGCACUGAGAAACUGAGACGAACCACAGACACACACAAAUAUUGAAAUGUAUUUUUCUAACAUUUUCUGACCUCGAAAUGCACGUGUGAACACAUGUUCAAUAACAUUACAAAUGUAUCUUUUUAACAUUACAUUCAAAUGCCAGCUGCGCUAUACGAUAUAUUGCUAAUGACACUAUUACAAAAAGAAAAUAUAGUCGUUUCUAACAUUACGUUAUGUAGGUCCUUGGAGGACCCAUAAAGUCUUGUUGAAAAUGUUUACACCUCCACCUCGGUUCCAUUCCUACUGCAGUUGCUGCAAACGGAUGCCAAUACUAUAGUGACACCUGUUGGGCAGAAGGGGAAUGGCAUGCUAGCAGUAACGCGAUUACGUACGCUAGGCGUAAACUGACGUCACACACGCCUUCAUUUGGACAAUUGUUCCAAUAUUUUUUUAUUCUGAUAAUCUGCUUGUUCAAAUUGAAUGCAACACUUUAAACAAAAGCUCCUUUAUUUCCAUGUUCUCAAGAACAUAAUUUACCAUACUUUUGUAAUGACAAAUAAAAGGAAAACAAUCAUUGUAACACAUCACAGAUUUAACAGAAGGAGAAUUUGCACCCAAGUGCUUGAACGGAAAUGUUCAUGAAUGUGUAUGCAAAUUAGGUUGUCGCGCUGUGCUGUAAAGCCAAUCUGAUAACAUACAAAAAGAAACCAAAACGUUUAUUCCAGUGCAUCACAUGAUAGACAACUGUUGUGAAACUGAACAUCUUACCAGAACGUUUUAUCAAUAAACAUACUGCCAGGUGGGAGGGAUAUACUGAAAUAAGGUUAAAAAAAAAAAA